GACGAACGCUGGCGGCGUGCCUAAUACAUGCAAGUAGAACGCUGAGGUUUGGUGUUUACACUAGACUGAUGAGUUGCGAACGGGUGAGUAACGCGUAAGUAACCUGCCUCAUAGCGGGGGAUAACUAUUGGAAACGAUAGCUAAUACCGCAUAAGAGUAAUUAACACAUGUUGGUUAUUUAAAAGGAGCAAUUGCUUCACUGUGAGAUGGACCUGCGUUGUAUUAGCUAGUUGGUGAGGUAAAGGCUCACCAAGGCGACGAUACAUAGCCGACCUGAGAGGGUGAUCGGCCACACUGGGACUGAGACACGGCCCAGACUCCUACGGGAGGCAGCAGUAGGGAAUCUUCGGCAAUGGACGGAAGUCUGACCGAGCAACGCCGCGUGAGUGAAGAAGGUUUUCGGAUCGUAAAGCUCUGUUGUUAGAGAAGAACGUUGGUAGGAGUGGAAAAUCUACCAAGUGACGGUAACUAACCAGAAAGGGACGGCUAACUACGUGCCAGCAGCCGCGGUAAUACGUAGGUCCCGAGCGUUGUCCGGAUUUAUUGGGCGUAAAGCGAGCGCAGGCGGUUCUUUAAGUCUGAAGUUAAAGGCAGUGGCUUAACCAUUGUACGCUUUGGAAACUGGAGGGCUUGAGUGCAGAAGGGGAGAGUGGAAUUCCAUGUGUAGCGGUGAAAUGCGUAGAUAUAUGGAGGAACACCGGUGGCGAAAGCGGCUCUCUGGUCUGUAACUGACGCUGAGGCUCGAAAGCGUGGGGAGCAAACAGG
rnacentral:rRNA from 1 species